rnacentral:ncRNA from 1 species
CAAAAUAUUGGGAGCGAUGAAUCCUAAUCUGCAACUGGGCACUUGGGUUAGGAUGAGCUAGUAGUGCAACCGACCAUUUUCCAA